AAAAAGGAAAAAGAGAGGGAAAAAAAUGCCAAUAGUUGGCUGUCAGUGCAAUACAAUCGUCACUUUCUCAGCUCCAUUAGAACAAAACAUUUAGAGAAAUACCUGGAGGCAAUAGAAAGCUCUCCCUUGAUUUAAUUCGACCAAUCAAACGUAAGAGGAAGUGACGUCUAGCAGUAGGCGGUGCACGGUGGCGAGGUCCCGGGAUCAGUCAAGCUGUCUGCAGAGUGAUGGCGACGUGUGGACUUGCCUGGUGGACAUUAUUCGCUCGGGUCCUGCUCCAAUUUUGGCAAACGUCUGGCAAACAGGUGGUUCUUCUCGAUACGACAACAGAGAGCUCUUUAGGAUGGACUAAGUACCCAUAUGGACCUCAGGCAAGAACUCCAGCUCUUCUCAACCUGUAGUUCGCG